rnacentral:lncRNA from 1 species
AACCCAAUUUUUCACUACCUUACAUCAACUCACUGAAACCAUUCUACCAGGAAAAUGGUUUCAGAGUACAAAUCUCUGAAACCAUUCUACCAGCUAAAUUGUUUCAGAAGCAAAUAACUAAGAAUCAACUUACUGAAAUCAUUCUACCAGCAAAAUGGUUUCAGAAGCAAACACAAUUAAUAAAUUACUCACUGAAACCAUUCUACCAGUAAAAUAGUUUCAGAGUACAACUAUGUGCAACCAUUCUACAAGCUAAAUGGUUCAGAAGCAAAUAACUAAUAAUCAACUUACUGAAACCAUUCUACCAGCAAAAUGGUUUCAGA